GCUCAGCUAAUUUGCUGCGCCCCUCCCACUCCGCGCCGUGAGCCUGGCGCGAGCCCCGCUUCACCCGCGGCGUCGUGGUGCGGUGCGGCCUGGCCCCGCCAUGGGGCUGGAGCUGGGCGCGGGGGUCGCGCGGCUGCUCUUCUACCCGACGCUGCUGUACACACUGGCGCGGGAGCGGCUGCCCCUGCGCCACCGGCCCGGCUUCCACCGCAUCGACCGCACCGUGCUGCUGGGCGCGCUGCCGCUGCGUGCGCGGAGCUCCCGGCUGGUGCAGGAGGAGAAUGUGCGCGCCGUGCUGACCCUCAACGAGGACUACGAGACCCGCUUCCUCUGCUGCUCGGCGCGGGAAUGGGAGGCCAUGGGAGUAGAGCAACUGCGUCUCAGCACAGUGGACCUGACUGGAGUCCCCACACUUGAAAAUCUGCAGAAAGGUGUUGAAUUUGUCCUGAAACACCAAGAAUGUGGUAACAGUGUUUAUGUGCACUGUAAGGCAGGCCGGUCACGCAGUGCCACCAUGGUAGCAGCAUAUUUAAUUCAAGUGCACAACUGGAGCCCUCAAGAAGCAAUAGAAGCCAUUGCAAAGAUCCGUCCCCACAUCCUCAUCCGCCACAAACAGGUCCAGGUCUUGGAGAGAUUUCACAAGCUUGUGAUUGCUGGGACAGCUUCACAAAGUGAGCAAAAGCCAUAAGAGACCACCUUCUGACUCCCCCCAAACAACUUUGAAUCUUAGUGAAUAAGAGUCAUGCUUCUCAGCCACCAGUAAAGAACUUCUUUAACUCAUUCUUGUAAUGGUUAGACCACUAACAUCUGGCAAAAACAACCCCAAAAAUUAAGGCCACUGUUGGCAUGUGGAGUUUCCAUUUAAGGCAACAAAAGUGUUCCUGGCAGUGAAGUCACAACUUAUUCAAACGUGCCAGAAGUCACAGAUGAAGGCAGAAGGACCUUCCUCAGCAGGUCUGGAACCAAAACAGCACAGGACUGCACUAACCCCAAGAUAGAUACCUUCAGACUGGAUUGCAACGUCUCUAAGAAGCCUGCCCGCUCCUCUUUGUUGAAGUUGAUCCAGGUGUCUAUGGAAACUGUUGGAUUCUGAGAACAUGGAACACCAUCUGUGGUUUUCAGAGACACAAAAAUGAAUUUACAAUAAAAUGACUAUUUCUCAA